UACGGAAGGCAGCAGUGGGGAAUAUUGCACAAUGGGCGCAAGCCUGAUGCAGCCAUGCCGCGUGUAUGAAAAGGCCUUCGGGUUGUAAAGUACUUUCAGUCGUGAGGAAGGUGUUAAGGUUAAUAACCUCAGCAAUUGACGUUAGCGACAGAAGAAGCACCGGCUAACUCCGUGCCAGCAGCCGCGGUAAUACGGAGGGUGCGAGCGUUAAUCGGAAUUACUGGGCGUAAAGGGCACGCAGGCGGUUAAUUAAGUUGGAUGUGAAAUCCCCGGGCUUAACCUGGGAAUGGCAUUCAAGACUGGUUAGCUAGAGUCUUGUAGAGGGGGUAGAAUUCCAUGUGUAGCGGUGAAAUGCGUAGAGAUGUGGAGGAAUACCGGUGGCGAAGGCGGCCCCUGGGACAAAGGACUGACGCUCAUGUGCGAAAGCGUGGGGAGCAAACAGGGAUUAGAUACC
rnacentral:rRNA from 1 species